CAGAUGGUCCCACCAAUACCACCAUCGCUGCUCCAUCCAAAUCAAGUCCUCCAUACCCACCAGGUUGCUGGUCCUCUUUUCUGCCUGAUGUCAUCUUGGGGCACAACUGGGACACCUUGAUGUCACAAGGUGGAAGAUGAAGAGGCAUCGUCUAACACGUGGAAGAAAAGCAUUCACUCGCUGUUCCAGGGACCCAUGAACCUCGGAGUUGAAGUCAAGAUAGCUCUCUGGCUCUGGAUUCAGUAAUGAAUGCACCCGCCAAGGAACGAGACUGUGGCGGGAUACUGGUGUAAGUGCUGGCAGGCAGGGUACUGGCAGGCAGGGUACUCACCUGCAG